rnacentral:rRNA from 1 species
AUUGAACGCUGGCGGCAGGCCUAACACAUGCAAGUCGAACGGCAGCACAGAAGAGCUUGCUCUUUGGGUGGCGAGUGGCGGACGGGUGAGUAAUGUCUGGGAAACUGCCCGAUGGAGGGGGAUAACUACUGGAAACGGUAGCUAAUACCGCAUAACGUCGCAAGACCAAAGUGGGGGACCUUCGGGCCUCACACCAUCGGAUGCGCCCAGAUGGGAUUAGCUAGUAGGUGGGGUAAUGGCUCACCUAGGCGACGAUCCCUAGCUGGUCUGAGAGGAUGACCAGCCACACUGGAACUGAGACGCGGUCCAGACUCCUACGGGAGGCAGCAGUGGGGAAUAUUGCACAAUGGGCGCAAGCCUGAUGCAGCCAUGCCGCGUGUAUGAAGAAGGCCUUCGGGUUGUAAAGUACUUUCAGCGGGGAGGAAGGCGGUGAGGUUAAUAACCUCGCCGAUUGACGUUACCCGCAGAAGAAGCACCGGCUAACUCCGUGCCAGCCGCCGCAGUAA